AAUGAACACUCAGGAUUGAUCUCCUUUAGGAUGGACCCACCUAAACUGUGAGAUAAUAAAGAGGAGUGUAUGAAACAUAAACCUACAUUUUAAAGACGUAGCCGACACUUUCGGAACCAUCACCCACACAGUGAAAUAAAUCAAGCCAGCAUCUCAGCAGGGCUUUUCUCUAUUUGCGCCUCAGACACUGUACAGAAGUGUAGCUCACCUGUUUUUGACCUUUAUAUAAGUGUGAGGUCUUAGUUCUCUGACCAGGGAUGGAAUCCAUGAACCCUGCAGUGGAACUAACAACUGGAACGUCCAGGGAAGUCACCCCAAAACUUGUCUCAACCAGGACUAAGCUCCAUAAUAUGGGAUCUAGUUCCCCAACCAGGGAAUGAACCCGUGCCCUAGAGUGGAAGUAUGGGUGUCCUGACCACUGGAGCAUCAGAGAAGUCCCCAGUUCAAGUUUUCGUUCAGUUUUCUGUCAGUUCGUUUGUCUUUGUCUGAUUGAUGAUUUGUAAUUUCCCACUUUGUCAUUUGUCUUUUAACUUUGCAAAUGGGAUGCUCACCCUCAGGUAUAAAAAGAGAUGACAAAGCUAUGACGGCAUUCUUUUUGCUAUUACCAGAUCAGCCAGGGAUCAAGGCGUCUGGUAAUAUUGUGCUGACAAGCAUGUGAAGGAUAUAUAGCAGUACAUUACACACGGGUGUGUAAACUAGUGAACUUCAAGACGAGUUUGGCACAUCUAGCACAGUGUGAAAUGCGGGUGUGGUUUGACUCCAGCCCUUUCAUUUCUAGGAAUUUAUCCUAUGACACACACAGUCCCUAACUUCUGAUGGUUCAACCUUGGGAUGGUGUGAAAGCAACAUUCACUCAGUAGAAAGCAUACUUCAAACUUUGAAUUUGGGUCUUUUCCCAGGCUAGCAGUAUUUGGGAGAAAAUUCUCUCAGGAUAUUGGUCAGGGCAGCAGCCACAGCUCCCAGCCAGCCAUGUGAUCACCAGGGUAAACAACCGAUAUGGCUACAACCAUUCUGAACCCAGACGGUCAUUCUGUGUUUCACUUUCAGUACAGUAUUCAAAAAAUGACAUGAGGUAGUCAACACUUUAUUAUUAAAUAGGCUUUGUGUUGGAUCGUUUUGCCCAGCUGAAGGCUAAUGUAAGUGUUCUGAGCAUGUUUAAGGUUGGCUUGGCUAAGCUUGAUGUGCUUUUAAGGAGUGUUAAAUGCAUUUUUUAUAAAGAUGUAUUUGUUGUGUUUAUCUUA